GUUCCUCUCCGCCUUUAGACUGACGGCGCCAUCUGAGAUCCGUUUUAGACAGAGAAAGGCAUAAAGCAACAAGAGUUCCGGAGGCGGCUGCUGGGGUCAUACAAUGUGCACAUGAUUCACGGAGUACACAAUAGUUCCUUUCAAUAGUAUGAAAUUUUGAAAUUUCCGGACUACUUUUGGUACAGUUCUGAUGAUAUUUUAUCUUUUUAGAAAUGGCAAACUGAGAUUAUGCAAGCCGAUGAUAUUAGUGGUUACCUUAAAGGGAAAGUAUUGCAGAGUUGUCACUGGUUUAAUAGAUACAGACUUGAUGCAGCUGAUAUCUGGAGAUGUUCAUUUUGUAAUGGUCAUUCAUGAGAUUGGUCGAUUGUCCUUUUAUACAAGUAGGUAUUAUGUUCUACAAGACAAGUGCAAUCCAAGGGCAGAUUUAAUUAA